GACGAACGCUGGCGGCGUGCUUAACACGUGCAAGUCGAACGGUGAAGCGCCUUCCUUUUUGGUGGGUGUGGAUGAGUGGCGAACGGGUGAGUAACACGUGAGUAACCUGCCCCCUUCUUCUGGAUAACCGCAUGAAAGUGUGGCUAAUACGGGAUAUUCUGGGUCUGUCGCAUGAUGGGUCUGGGAAAGAUAUUGUUUCGGUGGGGGAUGGGCUCGCGGCCUAUCAGCUUGUUGGUGGGGUGAUGGCCUACCAAGGCGGUGACGGGUAGCCGGCCUGAGAGGGUGGACGGUCACACUGGGACUGAGACACGGCCCAGACUCCUACGGGAGGCAGCAGUGGGGAAUAGUGCACAAUGGGCGCAAGCCUGAUGCAGCGACGCCGCGUGAGGGAUGGAGGCCUUCGGGUUGUGAACCUCUUUCGCCAGUGAAGCAGGCCUGCCUCGUUUGUGGGUGGGUUGACGGUAGCUGGAUAAGAAGCGCCGGCUAACUACGUG
rnacentral:rRNA from 1 species